GAUGAACGCUGGCGGCGUGCUUAACACAUGCAAGUCGAACGGGAAUUAUUUUAUUGAAACUUCGGUCGAUUUAAUUUAAUUCUAGUGGCGGACGGGUGAGUAACGCGUGGGUAACCUGCCUUAUACAGGGGGAUAACAGUCAGAAAUGGCUGCUAAUACCGCAUAAGCGCACAGAGCUGCAUGGCUCAGUGUGAAAAACUCCGGUGGUAUAAGAUGGACCCGCGUUGGAUUAGCUUGUUGGCAGGGUAACGGCCUACCAAGGCGACGAUCCAUACCCGGCCGGAAGGGGUAACCGGCCCCAUUGGGAAUGGGCCACGACCCAGACCCCUACGGGGGGGCGAAGUGGGGAAAUAUUCAAAAUGGGGAAAACCAUGAUGCACCCACGCACCGUGAAGGAAAAAUUAUCCUGGUAAUUAACCUUCCUUCAACAGGAAAGAUAGGGACGGUACCCAACAAAGAGGCCCCGCCUAACCACGG
rnacentral:rRNA from 1 species